rnacentral:rRNA from 1 species
AUUGAACGCUGGCGGCAGGCCUAACACAUGCAAGUCGAACGAGUGGCGGACGGGUGAGUAAUGUCUGGGAAACUGCCCGAUGGAGGGGGAUAACUACUGGAAACGGUAGCUAAUACCGCAUACCAUCGGAUGUGCCCAGAUGGGAGUAGCUAGUAGGGGGGGUAACGGGUAACCUAGGCGACGAUCCCUAGCUGGUCUGAUAGGAUGCGCAGCCAAACUGGAACUGAGACACGGUCCAGACUCCUACGGGAGGCAGCAGUGGGGAAUAUUGCACAAUGGGCGCAAGCCUGAGGCAGCCAUGCCGCGUGUAUGAAGAAGGCCGUCGGGUUGUAAAGUACUUUCAGCGGGGAGGCGUUACCCGCAGAAGAAGCACCGGCUAACUCCGUGCCAGCAGCCGCGGUAAUAC